rnacentral:piRNA from 1 species
AAUUGGAGGUCCGGGAACAGUUUACAAAG